UACGUAGGGGGCGAGCGUUGUCCGGAUUUAUUGGGCGUAAAGAGCGUGUAGGCGGCCAGGUAGGUCUGCUGUGAAAACUCGAGGCUCAACCUCGAGACGUCGGCGGAAACCAUCUGGCUAGAGUCCGGAAGAGGAGAGUGGAAUUCCUGGUGCAGCGGUGAAAUGCGCAGAUAUCAGGAAGAACACCCGUGGCGAAGGCGGCUCUCUGGGACGGUACUGACGCUGAGACGCGAAAGCGUGGGGAGCGAACAGG
rnacentral:rRNA from 1 species